GUCCUUCGGGAUGAGUAAAGCGGCGGACGGGUGAGUAACGCGUAGGAAUCUACCUAGUAGUGGGGGAUAACGUUUCGAAAGGAACGCUAAUACCGCAUACGUUCUGAGGAAGAAAGCAGGGGAUCGCAAGACCUUGCGCUAUUAGAUGAGCCUGCGUCCGAUUAGCUAGUUGGUGGGGUAAAGGCCUACCAAGGCGACGAUCGGUAACUGGUCUGAGAGGAUGAUCAGUCACACUGGAACUGAGACACGGUCCAGACUCCUACGGGAGGCAGCAGUGGGGAAUAUUGGACAAUGGGCGCAAGCCUGAUCCAGCCAUGCCGCGUGGGUGAUGAAGGCCUUAGGGUUGUAAAGCCCUUUCGGCGGGGAAGAUAAUGACGGUACCCGCAGAAGAAGCCCCGGCUAACUUCGUGCCAGCAGCCGCGGUAAUACGAAGGGGGCUAGCGUUGCUCGGAAUCACUGGGCGUAAAGCGCACGUAGGCGGAUUGUUAAGUCAGGGGUGAAAUCCUGGAGCUCAACUCCAGAACUGCCUUUGAUACUGGCGAUCUCGAGUCCGGGAGAGGUGAGUGGAACUGCGA
rnacentral:rRNA from 1 species